rnacentral:SRP_RNA from 1 species
AAUUGGGUCCUACGCAAUGAAAACUCAUGAACUCCGUCAGAUCCGGAAGGAAGCAGCGGUAAGUGAUCCCUUUCGUGUGCCGUAGGGUAACCUGAUUUGAG